rnacentral:rRNA from 1 species
ACGGCUCAGUAACACGUGGAUAACCUGCCCUUGGGUCCGGCAUAACCCCGGGAAACUGGGGAUAAUUCCGGAUAACACGCAUAUGCUGGAAUGCUUUACGUGUAAAAUGGAUUCGUCUGCCCAAGGAUGGGUCUGCGGCCUAUCAGGUAGUAGUGGGUGUAAUGUACCUACUAGCCUACGACGGGUACGGGUUGUGAGAGCAAGAGCCCGGAGAUGGAUUCUGAGACAUGAAUCCAGGCCCUACGGGGCGCAGCAGGCGCGAAAACUUUACAAUGCGGGAAACCGUGAUAAGGGGACACCGAGUGCCAGCAUCCUAUGCUGGCUGUCCGGGUGUGUAAAAUACACCUGUUAGCAAGGGCCGGGCAAGACCGGUGCCAGCCGCCGCGGUAACACCGGCGGCCCGAGUGGUGAUCGUGAUUAUUGGGUCUAAAGGGUCCGUAGCCGGUUUGGUCAGUCCUCCGGGAAAUCUGACAGCUCAACUGUUAGGCUUUCGGAGGAUACUGCCAGACUUGGAACCGGGAGAGGUAAGAGGUACUACAGGGGUAGGAGUGAAAUCUUGUAAUCCCUGUGGGACCACCUGUGGCGAAGGCGUCUUACCAGAACGGGUUCGACGGUGAGGGACGAAAGCUGGGGGCACGAACCGGAUUAGAUACCCGGGUAGUCCCAGCCGUAAACGAUGCUCGCUAGGUGUCAGGCAUGGCGCGACAGUGGUCGGUGCUGUAGGGAAGCCGUGAAGCGAGCCACCUGGGAAGUACGGCCGCAAGGCUGAAACUUAAAGGAAUUGGCGGGGGAG